CGGGUAGCCGGCCUGAGAGGGUGACCGGCCACACUGGGACUGAGACACGGCCCAGACUCCUACGGGAGGCAGCAGUGGGGAAUAUUGCACAAUGGGCGCAAGCCUGAUGCAGCGACGCCGCGUGCGGGAUGACGGCCUUCGGGUUGUAAACCGCUUUCAGCAGGGAAGAAGCGCAAGUGACGGUACCUGCAGAAGAAGCGCCGGCUAACUACGUGCCAGCAGCCGCGGUAAUACGUAGGGCGCGAGCGUUAUCCGGAAUUAUUGGGCGUAAAGAGCUCGUAGGCGGUUUGUCACGUCUGCUGUGAAAGCCCGGGGCUCAACCCCGGGUGUGCAGUGGGUACGGGCAGACUAGAGUGCAGUAGGGGAGACUGGAAUUCCUGGUGUAGCGGUGAAAUGCGCAGAUAUCAGGAGGAACACCGAUGGCGAAGGCAGGUCUCUGGGCUGUUACUGACGCUGAGGAGCGAAAGCAUGGGGAGCGAACAGGAUUAGAUACCCUGGUAGUCCAUGCCGUAAACGUUGGGCACUAGGUGUGGGGAACAUUCCACGUUUUCCGCGCCGUAGCUAACGCAUUAAGUGCCCCGCCUGGGGGAGUACGGA
rnacentral:rRNA from 1 species